rnacentral:rRNA from 1 species
AUUCCAGCUCCAAUAGCGUAUAUUAAAGUUGUUGCAGUUAGAACGCUCGUAGUCGGAUUUCGGGGCGGGCCGACCGGUCUGCCGAUGGGUACGCACUGGUCGGCGCGUCCUUCCUUCCGGAGACCGUGCCUACUCUUAACUGAGCGGGGGCGGGAGACGGAUCGUUUACUUUGAAAAAAUCAGAGUGUUUCAAGCAGGCAGCUCGCUCUUGCAUGGAUUAGCAUGGGAUAAUGAAAUAGGACUUUGGUGCUAUUUUGUUGGUUUCGAACACCGAAGUAAUGAUUAAAAGGGACAGUCAGGGGCACUCGUAUUCCGCCGAGAGAGGUGAAAUUCUCAGACCAGCGGAAGACGAACCACUGCGAAAGCAUUUGCCAGGGAUGUUUUCAUCA